rnacentral:rRNA from 2 species
GUGAAAUUGAACUCGCUGUGAAGAUGCAGUGUACCCGCGGCAAGACGGAAAGACCCCGUGAACCUUUACUAUAGCUUGACACUGAACAUUGAGCCUUGAUGUGUAGGAUAGGUGGGAGGCUUUGAAGCGUGGACGCCAGUCUGCGUGGAGCCGACCUUGAAAUACCACCCUUUAAUGUUUGAUGUUCUAACGUGGACCCGUUACCCGGGUUGCGGACAGUGUCUGGUGGGUAGUUUGACUGGGGCGGUCUCCUCCUAAAGAGUAACGGAGGAGCACGAAGGUUGGCUAAUCCUGGUCGGACAUCAGGAGGUUAGUGCAAUGGCAUAAGCCAGCUUGACUGCGAGCGUGACGGCGCGAGCAGGUGCGAAAGCAGGUCAUAGUGAUCCGGUGGUUCUGAAUGGAAGGGCCAUCGCUCAACGGAUAAAAGGUACUCCGGGGAUAACAGGCUGAUACCGCCCAAGAGUUCAUAUCGACGGCGGUGUUUGGCACCUCGAUGUCGGCUCAUCACAUCCUGGGGCUGAAGUAGGUCCCAAGGGUAUGGCUGUUCGCCAUUUAAAGUGGUACGCGAGCUGGGUUUAGAACGUCGUGAGACAGUUCGGUCCCUAUCUGCCGUGGGCGCUGGAGAACUGAGGGGGGCUGCUCCUAGUACGAGAGGACCGGAGUGGACGCAUCACUGGUGUUCGGGUUGUCAUGCCAAUGGCACUGCCCGGUAGCUAAAUGCGGAAGAGAUAAGUGCUGAAAGCAUCUAAGCACGAAACUUGCCCCGA